UCCUUACGCAGGAGGCCUCUAUCGAUGACGUUCAUACGGAGAUAGAGAGAUUGCUAGAUUGGAAACCCAAACGAUUGCAAUUCUAAGUCUCGUGUCUUUCGUGGCAUGAGCACCCUCU